AUGGAGCAGAGUUUCUUUGACCUUAUAUCUCAGUCACAGCCUUGUCAAGCCUCUCUAGCUUUCCCACUUAACAUGGUGAAUGUAACUGGAAGACAAAAAAGAUCAUUCCCAGAGGCUGCUGCCCACAGCAUAUGGCUAAGUGCUUUACUGGCAGAAAGAAACAUACAAACAACAUACAAAAAAAGGGCUGUCUUCUCUCCAGCAAAGUUGAUCAAGAAACUGGGUGCAAUGGAACUGCUGACAGCAGCUACUUGCUAUAAAAAGCUAAUAGUACUUUGUGGACCAUGA
rnacentral:lncRNA from 1 species